rnacentral:tRNA from 1 species
GUGAAAUAGCGCAGUUGGUAAAGCGUCAGACUAUAAAUUGGAAGGUCCUUGGUUCGAUCCUCGGUUCGGGCA